GGCUUCUCUGAGACACAGGCGUGCUUUAGCUGUGAGUUUUUCCUUACGGAAAGGAAGACAUUCUUGAGCAGUGUAUUUCCUCCCCUGCUGGGGGGAGACUGUGAUUGCUGCCGGCCGGAACUUUGCGAUUAAACAGGAUUACAAAAACCAGCCUCAACUGCGGCGGAGUGAGAGGCUGAGGGUAUAACCUUACGCUAACAGGAGAGCUGACGGGCCUCACGAGCUUGUGCGAGGUUUCUUCGCCUUUGGCUGUUGGGUGUGGUUGUCAGGGCUUCGUGUACAUGUACGAGAGCUGCAGCAUCUCUGGGACCCUUAAAGGCAGAGCAUCACAGGACGGGCCGUACCUCUCACCACCUGGAUGAGCUGGUGGAAGUUAGGGACGCAGCAAAGGAGAUGCUGAAUGAUAGCGUCGUAUAGAAAUUCUCCGGGGAAAUGAGACCUUUUAGGUCGUCCUCCCGAGUCAAAAUCCAGAAAACAAUUCAGAACUUUCGUGCAAUUAAGCUGAGAUACCCAGAGGCUGGCAGCGUUUCCCCUGUGUCCUGGGAGCGCCCCACGAGCUGUGUCCUGAAUGUCUGCAUCUCAGGGCCCGCCCUAUGCUGACUGAUGACGUGUGAGGUUGUGAAGGGCCGAGGGAUGAGUGAACAGGUGACCCUGUGUCUCCCGCUCCCACCUGGUCGUGGGUCCCGUAGGGAGCCCGGUGAGGACGAGUUACCCACUGGACACACAGCCUGCACCUCUCUCUGUCCAGCUUUGCCCCCGAUCAGGUGAGUCUAGAAGCCAUUCAGAAUCCGGCAUUUCAGCCACCUCCUCACCUGGGUCAUGCCCGAGGAUGCCUCCGCCCCGGCAGAUUCGUUGUGGGCACAGACUUCUGGAAACCACUGCACGUGAUACCGACUGACACCGGGAUCUGUAAGGUCAACACCAAUCAGCAAAAAAGAACAGUCUGCAAGUCACAGUGCACGCAGCCCCAAGUUCUUAAAGCACGACAGACCAGGAAGGACGGACAGAGUCCUGCAGGUGAUCCAGAACUGCGUACACCAACCAGAGGAGGCUAUAAGAGAGACUCGUCUCAAGUCUCUGAAUCCUACGUUUUUCUGACGAAGCUGAUGGAGAGGCUGUCAAGCCCAGGCAGGAACACAAGCCUUUCCCUCAACUUGAAGACCUGGCCCUUCAGAUGUGCCCUGUCUCAAGCCUUGCUGUGACAGGGUCCCCUCACCAGAAGAUACAGGGUGAACAGCCUCCCGGAGCCUUACGUAUGCGGGCCUCACACUGUUGCGGCCUCUCCCGUUGCAGAGCACAGGCUCCGGAUGCGCAGGCCCAGCGGCCAUGGCUCACGGGCCCAGCCGCUGCUCCACGGCACGUGGGAUCUUCCAGGACCGGGGCACGAACCCAUGUCCCCUGCAUCGGCAGGCGGACUCUCAACCACUGCGCCACCAGGAAAGCCCUAAGGCACAAGUGACUUGCCGCUGACCGUCCAGCUCCAGAAGACUUUGUAGUGAUGCACUGGGAUGUCCGGUUCCUCGGGGAGAUCCCAAACGAUCGUCACAGUCAAGCUUCCGUCACUGUUUAUUGUGGAGUUUGCAAGCCGGAGGUUGGCUGGGGCCGGUGGUGCAGAUGGAUCUGAAAUCCCAGGAGAAAGACACAAGGGCCCAGGAUGACCACAAAAGCAUCGCCUCUGGACAUGGAAUGACUACAGGGUUGACGCAGGAAGACUGCCCUUGAUAUGGAGAAUAGCUGAAGAUAAGCACUAAGG